UUGCAGACGCCUUUGUGAACAGCCAGGAGUGGACCCUGAGCCGAUCGGUACCAGAACUCAAAGUGGGCAUUGUGGGUAACCUGGCCAGUGGGAAGUCUGCGCUGGUUCACAGGUACCUGACAGGAACAUACGUCCAGGAGGAAUCUCCAGAAGCUGACGUGGAUGCAGG